UACGAAGGGGGCGAGCGUUGUUCGGAAUCACUGGGCGUAAAGGGCGCGUAGGCGGCCCUCUUUGUCGCGUGUGAAAGCCCCGGGCUCAACCUGGGAACGGCGCGCGAAACGGGGGGGCUGGAGUUCGGGAGAGGAGAGUGGAAUUCCCAGUGUAGAGGUGAAAUUCGUAGAUAUUGGGAAGAACACCGGUGGCGAAGGCGGCUCUCUGGACCGAGACUGACGCUGAGGCGCGAAAGCGUGGGGAGCGAACAGG
rnacentral:rRNA from 1 species